UACGGAGGGUGCAAGCGUUGUUCGGAAUCACUGGGCGUAAAGGGCGUGUAGGCGGUCUAUCAAGUCUGGUGUGAAAGCCCCGGGCUUAACCUGGGAAUGGCAGUGGAAACUAGAGAACUUGAAUCUGGCAGAGGGGGGUGGAAUGCCACGUGUAGCAGUGAAAUGCGUAGAUAUGUGGCGGAACACCGAUGGCGAAGGCAGCCCCCUGGGCUGAGAUUGACGCUCAGGCACGAAAGCGUGGGGAGCAAACAGG
rnacentral:rRNA from 1 species